rnacentral:rRNA from 1 species
AACGCUAGCUACAGGCUUAACACAUGCAAGUCGAGGGGCAGCAUCAUCAAAGCUUGCUUUGAUGGAUGGCGACCGGCGCACGGGUGAGUAACACGUAUCCAACCUGCCGACAACACUGGGAUAGCCUUUCGAAAGAAAGAUUAAUACCGGAUGGCAUAGUUUUCCCGCAUGGGAUAAUUAUUAAAGAAUUUCGGUUGUCGAUGGGGAUGCGUUCCAUUAGGCAGUUGGCGGGGUAACGGCCCACCAAACCGACGAUGGAUAGGGGUUCUGAGAGGAAGGUCCCCCACAUUGGAACUGAGACACGGUCCAAACUCCUACGGGAGGCAGCAGUGAGGAAUAUUGGUCAAUGGACGAGAGUCUGAACCAGCCAAGUAGCGUGAAGGAUGACUGCCCUAUGGGUUGUAAACUUCUUUUAUACGGGAAUAAAGUUAGCCACGUGUGGCUUUUUGUAUGUACCGUAUGAAUAAGGAUCGGCUAACUCCGUGCCAGCAGCCGCGGUAAUACGGAGGAUCCGAGCGUUAUCCGGAUUUAUUGGGUUUAAAGGGAGCGUAGGCGGGUUGUUAAGUCAGUUGUGAAAGUUUGCGGCUCAACCGUAAAAUUGCAGUUGAUACUGGCGACCUUGAGUGCAACAGAGGUAGGCGGAAUUCGUGGUGUAGCGGUGAAAUGCUUAGAUAUCACGAAGAACUCCGAUUGCGAAGGCAGCUUACUGGAUUGUAACUGACGCUGAUGCUCGAAAGUGUGGGUAUCAAACAGGAUUAGAUACCCUGGUAGUCCACACAGUAAACGAUGAAUACUCGCUGUUGGCGAUAUACAGUCAGCGGCCAAGCGAAAGCAUUAAGUAUUCCACCUGGGGAGUACGCCGGCAACGGUGAAAACAAAAGGGAAUUGACGGGGGCCCGCACAAGCGGAGGAACAUGUGGUUUAAUUCGAUGAUACGCGAGGAACCUUACCCGGGCUUAAAUUGCAACUGACUGAACCGGAAACGGUUCUUUCUUCGGACAGUUGUGAAGGUGCUGCAUGGUUGUCGUCAGCUCGUGCCGUGAGGUGUCGGCUUAAGUGCCAUAACGAGCGCAACCCUUAUCGAUAGUUACUAGCAGGUCAUGCUGAGGACUCUAUUGAGACUGCCGUCGUAAGAUGUGAGGAAGGUGGGGAUGACGUCAAAUCAGCACGGCCCUUACGUCCGGGGCUACACACGUGUUACAAUGGGGGGUACAGAAGGCAGCUACACGGCGACGUGGUGCUAAUCCCGAAAGCCUCUCUCAGUUCGGAUUGGAGUCUGCAACCCGACUCCAUGAAGCUGGAUUCGCUAGUAAUCGCGCAUCAGCCACGGCGCGGUGAAUACGUUCCCGGGCCUUGUACACACCGCCCGUCAAGCCAUGAAAGCCGGGGGUACAAGAAGUACGUAACCGCAAGGAGCGUCCUAGGGUAAAACUGGA